AUUGAACGCUGGCGGCAGGCCUAACACAUGCAAGUCGAACGGUAACAGGAAACAGCUUGCUGUUUCGCUGACGAGUGGCGGACGGGUGAGUAAUGUCUGGGAAACUGCCUGAUGGAGGGGGAUAACUACUGGAAACGGUAGCUAAUACCGCAUAACGUCGCAAGACCAAAGAGGGGGACCCUCGGGCCUCUUGCCAUCGGAUGUGCCCAGAUGGGAUUAGCUUGUUGGUGGGGUAACGGCUCACCAAGGCGACGAUCCCUAGCUGGUCUGAGAGGAUGACCAGCCACACUGGAACUGAGACACGGUCCAGACUCCUACGGGGAGGCAGCAGUGGGGAAUAUUGCACAAUGGGCGCAAGCCUGAUGCAGCCAUGCCGCGUGUAUGAAGAAGGCCUUCGGGUUGUAAAGCACUUUCAGUCAGGAGGAAAGGUUAGUAGUUAAUACCUG
rnacentral:rRNA from 1 species